rnacentral:tRNA from 1 species
AUUUAGAUAGUUUAUUAAGAAUAAUAAUUUGUGAUAUUGUAGGUGUUAUAUAACUCUAAAUU